UGGGACGCCGGCCGACAGCUGUGGAGAGACGCGAUUACCGGGCCGCGGGGAGUUUGUUGUCGCCAUCGUGUUAAGUGAUCAGAGGAACUGGCCAGGUGUCUCCGGUUGGGAGAGAUGGCAGGCUAGGAAGCACGAUUGGGAGCCUUGGACCUCAGUAGCAGCAUUAGCCACAGUACCGGCUGGUAGGAGGCUGCCACAGUGUCGGCCCUCACACUGAACUCUCUGUCAUGACGCCACAUGCACACACCCAUUGAGUCAAAGCCUACAAUACUCAAAGGACAUUCAAACAUAUGGACUUACCUACAUUUUUUUGUCGGGCAUUGGAGUCGACCUGCCGAGUGAUGUGGACAUGCUACUAAAAGAACUGAACUUUAGUUAGUAGCUAGUAUCCUGGUUUUUGGGGUACUGUAAUACUGAUAAUACUGCAGUUGUAAAUAUCAUCACGUUUGGGUCUCUGUUUGUGUAUGUGUCACGUAAACUGUAAAAACACUGUCACUGUAAUAUAUGGUUUUGCUACCAAGUGCGAUUUUCUUGUGGCUCAUUAAUUACUGAUCACCAGCUCCAGUAGCCCAUCCUAAUCUUCAGAUUCUCUGGCCUUAGAACCCGCUUGGUGAUGAUCCAGCUUGUUGUCCGUUAGUUAGUAGCGGGUUGAGACACCC